rnacentral:lncRNA from 1 species
CUUUCGGGACAUGAGAUUUUGUUCGGUUUUGGCAGGUAUUCGGUUUCAUCAGGUUCACAAUGCAUAAAAUGUGAUAUGAUUGGUCUUCAGAACAAGUUUGGAUUAGACAAGUUUCCGGUUUAUUCAGGGUUCGGUUUUAUCAGGUUUCACUGUAUUAUCUAAUCUGUAAGGGAGCAACCAUUUGACUUCAAGGGGGUUAUAUUUUUUUUUCUGAGUCAUAAUUUGUUUCGCGCACUAUUAGGGGAAAAUAUGGAUUCAGAAUAUAGUUUGUGUCAUCUGCUU